GACGAAGGGGGCUAGCGUUGUUCGGAAUUACUGGGCGUAAAGCGCGUGUAGGCGGUUGCCAUAGUCAGGUGUGAAAGCCUUGAGCUUAACUCAAGAAAUGCACUUGAUACUGGGCGACUAGAGGACCGGAGAGGAUAGUGGAAUUCCCGGUGUAGCGGUGAAAUGCGCAGAUAUCGGGAAGAACACCCGUGGCGAAGGCGGUUCUCUGGGACGGUACUGACGCUGAGACGCGAAAGCGUGGGGAGCGAACAGG
rnacentral:rRNA from 1 species